rnacentral:rRNA from 1 species
UACGAGGGGGGCAAGCGUUGUUCGGAAUCAUUGGGCGUAAAGCGCGCGUAGGUGGCUUCGUAAGUCCGUUGUGAAAGUCAGAGGCUCAACCUUUGAAUGCCGAUGGAUACUGCGGAGCUAGAGUACGGAAGAGGCGAGUGGAAUUCCUGGUGUAGCGGUGGAAUGCGCAGAUAUCAGGAGGAACACCAAUAGCGAAGGCAGCUCGCUGGGACGUUACUGACACUAAGGCGCGAAAGCGUGGGGAGCGAACAGG